GUUAUUUCCCUUUCUUAUAUCAAAAAAAAAAUAAAAAAUAAAUAAUUAUAAUAUAUAUUUAUUUUAAGUUGAGUCCCUAGUGUGAAACAUGUUUACUAUCUACUCCCCUCAAUUUUCUUGAGCCACAACAAAAAUUCAACACACUCAAUACGUAUAAAGGUCGCUUAUUUUAUCAAACUUGAGUAAAAUUAAGACAAAAAUU
rnacentral:lncRNA from 1 species